UGACUCAACACGGGGAAACUCACCAGGUCCAGACACAAUGAGGAUUGACAGAUUGAGAGCUCUUUCUUGAUUUUGUGGGUGGUGGUGCAUGGCCGUUCUUAGUUGGUGGAGUGAUUUGUCUGCUUAAUUGCGAUAACGAACGAGACCUUAACCUGCUAACUAGCCCGUAUUGCUUUGGCAGUACGCUGGCUUCUUAGAGGGACUAUCGGCUCAAGCCGAUGGAAGUUUGAGGCAAUAACAGGUCUGUGAGGCCCUUAGAUGUUCUGGGCCGCACGCGCGCUACACUGACGGAGCCAGCGAGUACUCCCUUGGCCGAAAGGCCUGGGUAAUCUUGUUAAACUCCGUCGUGCUGGGGAUAGAGCAUUGCAAUUAUUGCUCUUCAACGAGGAAUCCCUAGUAAGCGCAAGUCAUCAGCUUGCGUUGAUUACGUCCCUGCCCUUUGUACACACCGCCCGUCGCUACUACCGAUUGAAUGGCUCAGUGAGGCGUCCGGACUGGCC
rnacentral:rRNA from 1 species